UAGCGAGACUGCCGUUGACAAAACGGAGGAAGGUGGGGAUGACGUCAAAUCAUCAUGCCCUUUAUGACCUGGGCUACACACGUACUACAAUGGCUAUUAACAGGGAGAAGCGAUACCGCGAGGUGGAGCAAACCUCACAAAAAUAGUCUCAGUUCGGAUCGCAGGCUGCAACCCGCCUGCGUGAAGCCGGAAUUGCUAGUAAUCGCGGAUCAGCAUGCCGCGGUGAAUACGUUCCCGGCCUUGCACACACCGCCCGUC
rnacentral:rRNA from 1 species